CCUACGGGAGGCAGCAGUGAGGAAUAUUGGUCAAUGGGCGUAAGUCUGAACCAGCCAUGUCGCGUGCGGGAUGACGGCUCUAUGGAUUGUAAACCUCUUUUAUAAGGGGAUAAAGUGCGGGACGUGUCUCGGGUUGUAUGUAUCUUACGAAUAAGGAUCGGCUAACUCCGUGCCAGCAGCCGCGGUAAUACGGAGGAUCCGAGCGUUAUCCGGAUUUAUUGGGUUUAAAGGGUGCGUAGGCGGGCUGUUAAGUUAGCGGUGAAAUGCCGUGGCUCAACCCCGGAACUGCCGUUGAAACUGUUGGACUUGAGUAUGUUUGAGGCAGGCGGAAUGUGUGGUGUAGCGGUGAAAUGCUUAGAGAUCACACAGAACCCCGAUUGCGAAGGCAGCCUACCAAGCCAUAACUGACGCUGAUGCACGAAAGCGUGGGUAUCAAACAGGAUUAGAUACCCGAGUAGUC
rnacentral:rRNA from 1 species